AUUGUUCCUCCUGAGUUGCCGUAGCUUCGGUGUCCUCACAAUACCGUCUUGUGAUGCUGAGGAGCAGAGGAGCGGACAGUAGGAGACAGUAGACCAGAAGCCAUUCAUGUGAUAUUGUCUUCUGCAGAGUCCAGACCACAUUCACUCAGCCGCUCUAUGCUGGACUUGCGCUUGUUGGUUAUACUGGAGUCUCUGCUGAGUUGUGUAAACUGAAAUAGACAGAAGUCAUUUAAGGGUUAAAUUGUGUUUUAACUCUUCGACUUAUUUAGUCUCUAUGUUUGCUGCUGAGAGCUUAUUGUUGUGACAUAUUAUGUUCGCAAUGGUUUUUGUCAGUGUUUUCAACGUGUUUCACGUGUUUACACAUUUUUCUUGCUUUUUGUUAUUUUUUUUGCUUUUAUCAACUUUUUUUACCCUUUUUUUGCUUUUCUAAACGUUUUUGUAAAUUAAUUAGACGUUUUUUUUUGCUUGUAUUGAUGUUUUAGUUUGAGAAAAAUAUUUGGGGAGCCCCAGAAGCUCUCAAUGUGCUCAUUUGAGAUCUGUUAUUUUACCUGUAGAGGGAAGUCCAUAUACGGUUGGACAGGUGUGUCUGCAGGUUCACAGCUGUGCUGGGAGGGUUUGACCUACAGAGACAGAGUUACACGUAACGGACACACGUCUGUCAGAGACACAUGUAAUGGACACAAAAUGUCAUCAAAAAAAAUUACAAAAAGUAUAACAAAAGGGAAAUUCUUUCAAAAAACAAUGUCUAAAACCCAACAUGAAUGGUUUAAAAAUGCUACAAUAAAGUUUUCAACAAGAAUAUAGUCUGUUAGUUGUAGCCCUGCACCCAACUAUGUAUGCAUUUAAAUUCCAUUAAAGUGCCCAAUCACUUGUGUUUUUGGCCUACAAAGUCGCCUUCCAGGCAGCUGACACUAACCCUAACCCUAAACAUACCCAUUUCCGCACUACCUGGAUGGCGACUUUGGGGACAAAAAACACCAAACACUUGUUUACAGCUGCUCAUUCAAACUGUUGUUAAAACUACAAGAGGGGAAACCCUGACACCUGGUGGA